UAUCCUUCUCGGCAUUAAUUGUUAAUUCCCAUCUAAUUCUUUCUGCUUCUGGUGGGUCACAUUCCUUUAAGAUCGGUUCUAUUGUAACAGCCAUCUUUUUCCAGUCCAUUGGUUGAGUUACAAUUUUAUUCGGGCCGUAGCAGUACACAUCUUUAACAAAUUGUGGAAGGUCAAUAUCUCCUAUCACCUUAAUGCUUUCAAUCUUAUCAUUAUUUUUGUUUCGUAUUUGUUGUUUAAAAAUCCACCUUAACUUUUUAAUAUAAUUAUUACGGAUCUUUUUCUUAAAAUCUUCGACUAACGUAUUAAUGUUUGCUUCUGGUCUAUCUCCAGUUCUAUCGCAUUCUGUCUGUUCUAAUUUAUUUUUAUUUUGAUUUUUAAAGCGGAAUAGGUCUCUCCUAGCAUUGGCUAUGGCUGUUUUAAGACAUCUAUCUUUGACUGUUUUCAAAAGGUGUUCGGAUCUAACGGGCAAAGAAAGCCUAUAUAUUGACAUGGGUAGGACCCUGUUAAUUUUACAUUGUCUCAGGAACAUCAGCUUUUCUUCCAACCUAAUUUGCUUUUUCUGUAACUGCCAUGAUAGUAUCGCUGGCUCGGCGUCCAUAUUAUCGAAGGUUCUUAAUUUACACUGCUCGUUUUAUAUAAGAGCUGAAAUUGUA
rnacentral:lncRNA from 1 species